rnacentral:rRNA from 1 species
AUUGAACGCUGGCGGCAGGCCUAACACAUGCAAGUCGAACGGUAACAGGAAGAAGCUUGCUUCUUUGCUGACGAGUGGCGGACGGGUGAGUAAUGUCUGGGAAACUGCCUGAUGGAGGGGGAUAACUACUGGAAACGGUAGCUAAUACCGCAUAACGUCGCAAGACCAAAAAGGGGGACCUUCGGGCCUCUUGCCAUCGGAUGUGCCCAGAUGGGAUUAGCUAGUAGGUGGGGUAACGGCUCACCUAGGCGACGAUCCCUAGCUGGUCUGAGAGGAUGACCAGCCACACUGGAACUGAGACACGGUCCAGACUCCUACGGGAGGCAGCAGUGGGGAAUAUUGCACAAUGGGCGCAAGCCUGAUGCAGCCAUGCCGCGUGUAUGAAGAAGGCCUUCGGGUUGUAAAGUACUUUCAGCGGGGAGGAAGGGAGUAAAGUUAAGACCUUUGCUCAUUGACGUUACCCGCAGAAGAAGCACCGGCUAACUCCGUG